rnacentral:rRNA from 1 species
UCUGGUAUUGAUUGGUGCUUGCAUCAUGAUUUACAUUUGAGUGAGUGGCGAACUGGUGAGUAACACGUGGGAAACCUGCCCAGAAGCGGGGGAUAACACCUGGAAACAGAUGCUAAUACCGCAUAACAACUUGGACCGCAUGGUCCGAGUUUGAAAGAUGGCUUCGGCUAUCACUUUUGGAUGGUCCCGCGGCGUAUUAGCUAGAUGGUGGGGUAACGGCUCACCAUGGCGAUGAUACGUAGCCGACCUGAGAGGGUAAUCGGCCACAUUGGGACUGAGACACGGCCCAAACUCCUACGGGAGGCAGCAGUAGGGAAUCUUCCACAAUGGACGAAAGUCUGAUGGAGCAACGCCGCGUGAGUGAAGAAGGGUUUCGGCUCGUAAAACUCUGUUGUUAAAGAAGAACAUAUCUGAGAGUAACUGUUCAGGUAUUGACGGUAUUUAACCAGAAAGCCACGGCUAACUACGUGCCAGCAGCCGCGGUAAUACGUAGGUGGCAAGCGUUGUCCGGAUUUAUUGGGCGUAAAGCGAGCGCAGGCGGUUUUUUAAGUCUGAUGUGAAAGCCUUCGGCUCAACCGAAGAAGUGCAUCGGAAACUGGGAAACUUGAGUGCAGAAGAGGACAGUGGAACUCCAUGUGUAGCGGUGAAAUGCGUAGAUAUAUGGAAGAACACCAGUGGCGAAGGCGGCUGUCUGGUCUGUAA